rnacentral:tRNA from 1 species
GGUCACGUAGCUCAAUGGAGAGAGCAACUGCCUUCUAAGCAGUAGGUUACAGGUUCAAAUCCUGUCGUGAUCACGA